rnacentral:rRNA from 1 species
UAAGUUAAACGGCCGCGGUAUCCUGACCGUGCAAAGGUAGCAUAAUCACUUGUUCCUUAAUUAGGGACUAGUAUGAAUGGCUAGACGAGGGUUCAACUGUCUCUUAUUCUCAAUCAGUGAAAUUGACCUUCCAGUGAAGAGGCUGGAAUAACAUAAUAAGACGAGAAGACCCUAUGGAGCUUAAAUUAACUAGCUUAAUUAUUAAAAUUAAUAACCUAAUGGAACAAAAUAAAAAAAAAAUAAGCUAGUAAUUUCGGUUGGGGUGACCUCGGAGAAUAAAAAAACCUCCGAAUGAUUGUAGCAUAGAUUAACAAAUCAAAGCAACUUACUAAAUCUUAUUGACCCAAAAAUUUUGAUCAACGAACCAAGUUACCCUAGGGAUAACAGCGCAAUCCUAUUUAAGAGUUCAUAUCGACAAUUAGGGUUUACGACCUCGAUGUUGGAUCAGGACAUCCCAA